rnacentral:rRNA from 1 species
UUAAGGGGGCGUCGGCGUCCUAUCAUGCAAGUCGAGCGACAGAUAAGGAGCUUGCUCCUUUGACGUUAGCGGCGGACGGGUGAGUAACACGUGGGUAACCUACCUAUAAGACUGGAAUAACUCCGGGAAACCGGGGCUAAUGCCGGAUAACAUUUAGAACCGCAUGGUUCUAAAGUGAAAGAUGGUUUUGCUAUCACUUAUAGAUGGACCCGCGCCGUAUUAGCUAGUUGGUAAGGUAAUGGCUUACCAAGGCAACGAUACGUAGCCGACCUGAGAGGGUGAUCGGCCACACUGGAACUGAGACACGGUCCAGACUCCUACGGGAGGCAGCAGUAGGGAAUCUUCCGCAAUGGGCGAAAGCCUGACGGAGCAACGCCGCGUGAGUGAUGAAGGGUUUCGGCUCGUAAAACUCUGUUAUUAGGGAAGAACAAACGUGUAAGUAACUGUGCACGUCUUGACGGUACCUAAUCAGAAAGCCACGGCUAACUACGUGCCAGCAGCCGCGGUAAUACGUAGGUGGCAAGCGUUAUCCGGAAUUAUUGGGCGUAAAGCGCGCGUAGGCGGUUUCUUAAGUCUGAUGUGAAAGCCCACGGCUCAACCGUGGAGGGUCAUUGGAAACUGGGAGACUUUGAGUGCAGAAGAGGAAAGUGGAAUUCCAUGUGUAGCGGUGAAAUGCGCAGAGAUAUGGAGGAACACCAGUGGCGAAGGCGACUUUCUGGUCUGUAACUGACGCUGAUGUGCGAAAGCGUGGGGAUCAAACAGGAUUAGAUACCCUGGUAGUCCACGCCGUAAACGAUGAGUGCUAAGUGUUAGGGGGUUUCCGCCCCUUAGUGCUGCAGCUAACGCAUUAAGCACUCCGCCUGGGGAGUACGACCGCAAGGUUGAAACUCAAAGGAAUUGACGGGAACCCGCACAAGCGGUGGAGCAUGUGGUUUAAUUCGAAGCAACGCGAAAAACCUUACCAAAUCUUGACAUCCUUUGACCACUCUAGAGAUAGAGUUUUCCCCUUCGGGGGACAAAGUGACAGGUGGUGCAUGGUUGUCGUCAGCUCGUGUCGUGAGAUGUUGGGUUAAGUCCCGCAACGAGCGCAACCCUUAAACUUAGUUGCCAGCAUUUAGUUGGGCACUCUAGGUUGACUGCCGGUGACAAACCGGAGGAGGGUGGGGGAUGACGUCAAAUCAUCAUGCCCCUUAUGAUUUGGGGCUACAC